ensembl:lncRNA
UCUCUCAGGAGAAUCCUAUGUUCUCUAGGCAUGCCCAACACAUCUUACCCCUCCCUUUACCCACAGAUGCUUCCACACUCCAAUCAUGGGCACCUCACCAUUACCCAUGAAUGCCCUACCCCACUGUUACCCACUGACACUCCCAGCCCCACAGCUAUAGAACCCACUAUCACCCACAGACACUCCACUUCUCUCAAUCACAAAUACCUCACAUCUCCCAAUGGAUACCUCACCCUGCCAUCGUCCACUGGCACCCCAAUCCACGCCACCAGGGGUACCCCUGUUCUGUUACCCCACAAAUUUCAUACUUAGCACAAUGACUUUUUAAAGAAGCGCAGUCAGACUUCGGUCAUGCCCUCCACAUAUCUUCCCUGAGCUCCUGAGAUGUGACACACUAGGGUGAGCCUGAGGAUCAAAGAGACAACCCACAUUUCCUCUCUGCACACAAAGAACCCUACUGACUGGGAAAUAGAGUAGUAGAGAAAUGAAACACCACCCAGGGCAGUUCGCAACAUCAUGGAGCACACAGCACACAUCAUGAGGCUGGGGUGUGUGUUGGGGAACAAAAAGCUUCACAAGAGAUGAUCAUAUCUGGGCUGGGAAGGAGUGCUGAGUUUGCCAGAAGGUGAGUGAACAUGAAAUAGCACAGACAAAGGCAAAAAAGACCUGAGGCAUGAAAGAGUGUGGCCUCUUUGAAGGCUGGUGCUAGAAUGCCUGGAGUCCUAGGAUAAGUGGUGGGAGGAGAGUUCUGGGAAGAAUCUGCAUAUGAGGCCAUGGUGUGGAGUCUGAACAAACACUGAGAGCCAGCUGUGGCUUUGAAGUAACGGCCUGAUGGGAUUUGACUCAGAGACUCUGGUUGGCAUCAUACAGACUGCACCACAGCAGGCAGAGGCUAGGGUGUGGGGGGAAGGCCAUACAAGAAGGUUAUCCAUAACAACCUCCCAUAAGAGAUGAUGCCUGAACAAGGGUAGACACCCUGGCCAAGGAGCGAUCAGAAAAGAUGUGAUAACUUCAAUCAAAUUUGGUGAUCCUCUAUGUGUGAGUGUGCACGCACAUGUUUGAGCUGAGACAAGGUGGACACCAAGGGAAAAAUCAAGAGGCUAAGCAAGGAGAAUUGACGGACUGACAACAUCACAAUUGGAGACAAGGCACAUAUAGGAUACAUAUUAAGUUUGAGAUACUUGUGGGCCAUCCAGGUCACAGGAGUUGAUAUCAUCUGGAAAGGUGGCACAGGGCAAGAUGUUAGAGUUGGUUCACAAGGUUAAUAAUUUGUACUAAGAAGAAAAGAAAUGUGGUAGAGGGGAUGCUAGAAAGUGGUAAUCUGUAGGUGAGGCAAAGGUGUCUAGUACAAAGCCAAAGACAGCUACAUGUGUAAUAAAGAAAAAGUGAAGAAGGUAACACAGGCAGAAAAAAUUGUGCAUUAUCUUGACAUCACUGCCAUCCCCUUUAUGUGCAGGUUCAGACUCCUACUGAGUGCCUUACACCCACCCCUAUCCUGUCACUGCCACAAGAUAAUUGAGUGAGGUUAGAAGGCACCUACUAUCUAAGUAUUUUGGGAUGACUGACAGAGCCAUUUGGGAUGUCUCAGGUAUCAGUAAAGGUGAGGCUAUGGGAAACACCGUCUUUGCGUGGGGCAACUUGUGAAGAGCCACACCGGGUGCACCUUUGGCCACACUAGGCUGACAAGAGGGAAGAUGAUACCAUAUUCUCUUAAGGGGCUGGCCCCGUGGCUGAGUGGUUAAGUUCACGCACUCCGCUGCAGGCGGCCCAGUGUUUCGUUGGUUCGAAUCCUGGGCGCGGACAUGGCACUGCUCAUCAGACCACGCUGAGGCAGCGUCCCACAUGCCACAACUAGAAGGACCCACAACGAAAUAUACAACUAUGUACUGGGGGGCUUUGGGGAGAAAAAGGAGAAAAAUAAAAUCUUUAAAAAAAAAAAAAAAAAAAGGCCUUGAUCUCUCCAGUACUCUAGUUGCCCCAGAGAGGCCCCAAGUACAUGGACUGGGGGGUUAAAACUAGUAAGAAGAAUGAAUAGGACAAAACUAUUUCUUUUAUUAAUUCACCCUCCUGUCUGUUCAUGUGGCAAAUAUUUAUUGAACACCUAUUACACACCUGGCCCUGGGGACAGCAACAUUCAUAGGCUGAGUGGAAGAGAAAUCCUGAAAGAAGACUUCCUCUCAGAUAUCAGAUAUCACAGAAGGCACAGAAAUAGUUUCAGAAGUAGAAGGUGGUUAGCAUCACUUACUUCGGGGAUCCAGUAGGAUAAGGACUGAAGGCAGGCUAAGAAGGAGGUCACUGAUACCCUUAAUAGAAACAUUUUUAGGUAGUAGAAGCCAAAGUAUAAUGGAUAGAAAAAUGAAUGACAGUCGAAAUGCAGACCAUUCCCUUGAGAAGUGUGUCCAGUAAGGGGACAAGGGGAGAUGACAAAAGCUGUUUUGUAACUUCUCUAAGUGGAGCUGAGAGAAGCUUGUGCAGUGCUGGCUCCAACUGAACAUCCCCCAAAGAGAAGGGCCAAGCGAUGAAGCAAAGUGCUGAAGAAGAGGUGAAGUACUAGAAGCCUGAGACCAGGUAGCAGAAUCAGCCUGGAGAGGCAGAACUGCUCCUUUCUCUGAAACGAUGGGAAGGACAGUGCUCUUAUAUAUAAGUCUCUGCACAGAGAGGAGAGCAGAAGCCUAUUUGUCAGCCUCAGUGUUUUCUGUGAACUGAGUAGCAGAGUCAUCCUGUACAGUACCUGGUAGACAGCAAGCGCUCAAUAAUCAUUUUUUAAAGGAAUGAAUCCUGGGGCUGCAGCAUAACCCACAAGGAGCCUAGAGUCUGGUCCCUGAUAGGAUCACUACUCUAAGCUACUGCCUUCCUCCCCUCCACCUCUUAUCAAUCUGUCCUUGCCUUAGAUGGAAACGUGAGUUACCAGUACACAGAUGUUUGCAUAAAGUCAGGCACACAUGCAUACACACAUAUAUCCACCCUGUAUAUCACAGAGAAGAAACAGGGAAAAAAGGGCCCUUAUGGGCUCACCUAGAGACUCCAAGAAUUAAAUAUUGCAGUCUGUUAUCAGUGAAACAGAGGCACAGUACCUUGAUGAAGCAAAGAUAGACGCAUUGAGGCCCCCAAAGCAGGACAGAGCGACGGCAAUGGGAAUGGUCCAGCUGAACAUGCCAAAUGUCCGGUCAGCAAAUGUCUGGAGGCAGAGCACAGAAGGGGCACUUAGCACAGGACAGGGUUUCAUAAGCCUCCUGCAUCUAUGGUUCUGGGACAAACACAGUCGCAUCUGAGCAGCCCACCCUCUGGCCUAGAUCCAUCAACUGGCCCUGCAGAGCUGGAGCAGCUGCAGAAAGAGAUCGAGACAUUCAGUAUCAUAAGAUGACGAGCAAAUGGAGAUCCCAAGAGACUCACCACAGCCACAGCAUCACUGCCAAGGACAUCUGAAAUGCUCAGCACUGUGUAAUAGGCCACGUUGGUCAGGAUGUAGAUGAGCGUCACAAUUGGCAUAGAAAUCCCAAUGGCCAGGGGCAAAUUUCUGUCAGGAUAAGUGAGAUAGUACUACUAGAACCAACCUCCCCUUGGGGUCAAAGUCCACCGAGGGAUUUUUCUAACAUUUAACAGUUCCCCAGCCUCUCUGGGUCUUUGACGCAGGCUCCUCUUCCCCAUGUGACCUAGGGUAAGUAUGUAUCCCAUGCCCCUGGGCUCUUUCUACUGAGAAACAGAGAGAGAGAGAGAGAGAGAGAUCCUUCUCUGUGAAGAUAGCUGAUCAAUAUUUGAUCUUCCCCACAGUUGAACCAAUGAAGAAGGGUCCCAGUGAAGAAGGAGCAGUGUCCUCUAGGGACUGGAGGCGAGGCUGGGGACCUGGCUGCCCAGAAUAAGUUUCUGGUUCCCCAGGCUUCAAUGUCAGCUCCAGAAUACAAGGGUCAGCUGUUGCCCACUGAAGGACCUCUCCUCAAGGAAGGACCUUGGGGAUCCUCCAGUGUGAACAUGAGGGAACAAGAAGUCAGGAUACUAAGAGACUGAAUCUAUUUAACAGCAGCAGAGUCAGGGGCCAUAGCAAGUCAAAGUCACAUAUAAGCCUUGUAACUACAGACUAACAAAAACCACAAGAAAGCAGAGGAAGGAAGCAGGACUACAAAAAGAAGUGUGAGGGCACACAGCUUGUGAGAAAAAGGCUGAUGGAGAAAGAUGCAGAAAUACACAGAGACAAGAGACAAAGAUAAGAAGACAGAGAAGGGGAGAAAGAGAAAGAGAAAAAAAGAUAGACAUACACGUGGCGAAAGAGACUGUCUCACAAUGUCCUGGCUGUGCUUGAUGAAUAUUAUUUUAGACUGGUUACUUUUAAAA